UGGGGAAUAUUGCACAAUGGGCGCAAGCCUGAUGCAGCCAUGCCGCGUGUAUGAAGAAGGCCUUCGGGUUGUAAAGUACUUUCAGCGGGGAGGAAGGUGUUGUGGUUAAUAACCUCAGCAAUUGACGUUACCCGCAGAAGAAGCACCGGCUAACUCCGUGCCAGCAGCCGCGGUAAUACGGAGGGUGCAAGCGUUAAUCGGAAUUACUGGGCGUAAAGCGCACGCAGGCGGUCUGUCAAGUCGGAUGUGAAAUCCCCGGGCUCAACCUGGGAACUGCAUCCGAAACUGGCAGGCUUGAGUCUUGUAGAGGGGGGUAGAAUUCCAGGUGUAGGGUGAAAUGCGUAGAGAUCUGGAGGAAUACCGGUGGCGAAGGCGGCCCCCUGGACAAAGACUGACGCUCAGGUGCGAAAGCGUGGGGAGCAAACA
rnacentral:rRNA from 1 species